UACGUAGGGUGCAAGCGUUAAUCGGAAUUACUGGGCGUAAAGCGUGCGCAGGCGGUUAUAUAAGUCAGUUGUGAAAUCCCCGGGCUCAACCUUGGAACUGCAUCUGUGACUAUAUAGCUAGAGUACGGUAGAGGGGGAUAGAAUUCCGCGUGUAGCAGUGAAAUGCGUAGAUAUGCGGAGGAAUACCGAUGGCGAAGGCAAUCCCCUGGACCUGUACUGACGCUCAUGCACGAAAGCGUGGGGAGCAAACAGG
rnacentral:rRNA from 1 species